GGGGAAUCUUGCGCAAUGGGCGAAAGCCUGACGCAGCCAUGCCGCGUGAAUGAUGAAGGUCUUAGGAUUGUAAAAUUCUUUCACCGGGGACGAUAAUGACGGUACCCGGAGAAGAAGCCCCGGCUAACUUCGUGCCAGCAGCCGCGGUAAUACGAAGGGGGCUAGCGUUGCUCGGAAUUACUGGGCGUAAAGGGCGCGUAGGCGGAUCGUUAAGUCAGGGGUGAAAUCCCGGGGCUCAACCUCGGAAUUGCCCUUGAUACUGGCGAUCUUGAGUAUGAGAGAGGUAUGUGGAACUCCGAGUGUAGAGGUGAAAUUCGUAGAUAUUCGGAAGAACACCAGUGGCGAAGGCGACAUACUGGCUCAUUACUGACGCUGAGGCGCGAAAGCGUGGGGAGCAAAC
rnacentral:rRNA from 1 species